CCACGCCCCUCUUCACAAGCCUCCAUUUUCAACAAGACUGUGAACGUUGCAUAUCGGGCUUCUCCUCUACUUUGAAAUAAAGACAUAGAUAUUCAGGAGAAUUAAGCGAAACCCAAACUCUGUUCUCAACGAAGACCUUCUGUAUGGCGAAGAACAUGAGUCUGCUCCCUCAAGAUCUUUUGUAUGGCCAAGAAGAGAAAGGAGCAGCCAUCUUCUCAACAACAUGGAUUUUCUCCCUUAAGACAGACAAGAUGAUGUAGCCCUGGAGCUGCUGCCAGUACUCCGCCCCACUCCACCUGUGACGGUGUGGCGAGAGGUUGGAGAAGGAGUUAGCGGUGGUUAGCCACUCUAACCAAAAACAGCAGGACGCACUUUUGAAGUAUUCCACACUUUCAAUUUAUUUAACUUCGUCCACCUAAAGCCAUUUCUUCACGCUACUAAGCAUUAUAUUUCCAUACAUUAGAAAAGUAACAUUAGUUUACUGUUCUGCACCUCAUCAUCAGCUAUGUUCUCUUCUACAACAAAAUGGAAGACUAGUUCUUCUGUACAAUAGUACAGCAAAAAAGGGAAUAGGCGCCCCCUUGUGGUGAUACCUACUCAUCUCUAGGAACCAAACAGCAUAAUGACUGUUGCACACCUUACGCAUUUGGGAGAAGAGUUUCAGACCCAUCAACCUGGAAGUUCAGAAGGUUUCGUUGAUAUCCAGCCUGUUGGGACAAACCUAAAGGCACAUCUACAAAAUGCGACAACCCGUAUGUUCUCAUGCAGGGAGACUGAAAAAAUGUCGUUAAAAAUGCUCCUUGUUUAAUGGCUGAAACUUUUACUUGUAGUUUGCUUUAAAGCAGACUUUUUACAUGAAAUGUUUUCUAAUGUGUAGUAACAGAUACUUCUGGAGUUGUAGCUAAAUGAGUUGAAGUGAUUUAACUAUAUACUUUUGAAAAAACUUACUUGUACCUUUUGUAAAUGAAAUCUGCUGGCUCUACAUAUGCAUAACAUGUAAAUAAAAGAAGCUUUAAAUUCA